AACGAACGCUGGCGGCAUGCCUAACACAUGCAAGUCGAACGAGACCUUCGGGUCUAGUGGCGCACGGGUGCGUAACGCGUGGGAACCUGCCCUUAGGUUCGGAAUAACUCCCCGAAAGGGGUGCUAAUACCGGAUAAUGUCUUCGGACCAAAGAUUUAUCGCCUUUGGAUGGGCCCGCGUUGGAUUAGCUAGUUGGUAGGGUAAAAGCCUACCAAGGCGACGAUCCAUAGCUGGUCUGAGAGGAUGAUCCGCCACACUGGGACUGAGACACGGCCCAGACUCCUACGGGAGGCAGCAGUGGGGAAUAUUGGACAAUGGGCGAAAGCCUGAUCCAGCAAUGCCGCGUGAGUGAUGAAGGCCUUAGGGUUGUAAAGCUCUUUUACACGGGACGAUAAUGACAGUACCGGGAGAAUAAGCUCCGGCUAACUACGUG
rnacentral:rRNA from 1 species